GUAGCUAACCUAUGGAAUGACACCUGAGGUAACAGACAGACAGCUAACCUAUGGAAUGACACCUGAGGUAACAGACAGGUAGCUAACCUAUGGAAUGACACCUGAGGUAACAGACAGACAGCUAACCUAUGGAAUGACACCUGAGGUAACAGACAGGUAGCUAACCUAUGGAAUGACACCUGAGGUAACAGACAGACAGCUAACCUAUGGAAUGACACCUGAGGUAACAGACAGACAGCUAACCUAUGGAAUGACACCUGAGGUAACAGACAGACAGCUAACCUAUGGAAUGACACCUGAGGUAACAGACAGGUAGCUAACCUAUGGAAUGACACCUGAGGUAACAGACAGACAGCUAACCUAUGGAAUGACACCUGAGGUAACAGACAGGUAGCUAACCUAUGGAAUGACACCUGAGGUAACAGACAGACAGCUAACCUAUGGAAUGACACCUGAGGUAACAGACAGACAGCUAACCUAUGGAAUGACACCUGAGGUAACAGACAGACAGCUAACCUAUGGAAUGACACCUGAGGUAACAGACAGGUAGCUAACCUAUGGAAUGACACCUGAGGUAACAGACAGACAGCUAACCUAUGGAAUGACACCUGAGGUAACAGACAGGUAGCUAACCUAUGGAAUGACACCUGAGGUAACAGACAGACAGCUAACCUAUGGAAUGACACCUGAGGUAACAGACAGGUAGCUAACCUAUGGAAUGACACCUGAGGUAACAGACAGACAGCUAACCUAUGGAAUGACACCUGAGGUAACAGACAGGUAGCUAACCUAUGGAAUGACACCUGAGGUAACAGACAGACAGCUAACCUAUGGAAUGACACCUGAGGUAACAGACAGGUAGCUAACCUAUGGAAUGACACCUGAGGUAACAGACAGACAGCUAACCUAUGGAAUGACACCUGAGGUAACAGACAGGUAGCUAACCUAUGGAAUGACACCUGAGGUAACAGACAGACAGCUAACCUAUGGAAUGACACCUAGUUUGUACAGGAGAUAAAGGUAUCUGAGGUAACAGACAGGUAGCUAAACUAUGGAAUGACUGCUGGAUGACUAUCAAGCCUCGCCUCAUUGCUCUGAGUGAUGGGGAGCUGACAGAACCCUGCUGUGUGACCCUCUGAUCUACAGAUCCCAGUCUCCUGAUCCCUCCUGGAAUUACUCAGGGAAUUGUAUGUGUGUGAGAGUGUGUGUGUGUGUGUGUGUAUGUGUGUGUGUGUGUCUGUCUGUGUGUGUGUGACACAAGGAUCCCUCCUGUCAUUACUCAAGGGAGAGGGGGAGACUGGUGUCCCGCAGGGCGCUGUGGUGCUCCGCUCCUCUCUGCUCCGCUCGCUGUCCUCUGAAGGUCAGCGUUUAAAACAGCAGCAGCAGCCCCAUUUGUCUGUCUGUCCGGGAUGGGGAUGAGGAGAGGGAGGGAGCCAUAUCUCUGUGAACCUGCUGACUGAACAGGCUCCUCACCGUACACUGCUCUUAUCUCCUCCUCCAGAAGCACAGCAGCCUGAUAUGGCCUUGUGUUCCACUCCUUUCCUCCUCCUCUCAUCCCAGCUACACUAACGUCCCUCCAACACUGACCUUCGUCAAUGAUGAAGAGUGCUGGAUAUAAGCCAAGUGCACCCACGUGUGUGUGUGUGUGUGUGUUUGUAUGUGUGUGUCUGGACAGGUAUUGCCACUGUGUAGUAUAGCAACUGUGUAGUAUAGCCACUGUGUAGUGUUGCCACAGUGUAGUAUAGUCAUUGUAUAGUGUUGCCACUGUGUAGUAUAGUCACUGUGUAGUAUAGUCAUUGUGUAGUAUAGUCACUGUGUAGUAUAGCAUAGCCACUGUGUAGUAUAGUCACUGUGCGGUAUAGUCACUGUGUAGUAUAGCCACGGUGUAGUAUUGCCACUGUGUAGUAUUGUCACUGUGUAGUAUAGUCACUGUGUAGUGUUGCCACAGUGUAGUAUAGCCACUGUGUAGUAUAGUCACUGUGUAGUAUAGUCACUGUGUAUAGUGUUGCCACGGUGUAGUAUUGCCACUGUGUAGUAUAGUCAUUGUGUAGUAUAGUCACUGUGUAGUAUAGCCACGGUGUAGUAUUGCCACUGUGUAGUAUAGUAAUUGUGUAGUAUAGUCACUGUGUAGUAUAGUCACUGUGUAGUGUUGCCACUGUGUAGUAUAGUCACUGUGUAGUAUAGCCACUGUUUAGUAUAGCCACUGUGUAUUAUAGCCACUGUGUAGUAUAGUCACUGUGUAGUAUAGCCACUGUGUAGUAUAGCCACUGUGUAGUAUAGUCACUGUGUAGUGUUGCCACUGUGCAGUAUAGCCACGGUGUAGUAUAGCUACUGUGUAGUAUAGCUACUGUGUAGUAUAGCCACUGUGUCGUAUAGUCACUGUGUAGUAUAGCCACUGUGUAGUAUAGCUACUGUGUAGUAGUGCUACUGUGUAGUAUAGUCACUGUGUAGUGUUGCCACUGUGCCGUAUAGUCACUGUGUAGUAUAGCCACUGUGUAGUAUAGCAUAGCCACUGUGUAGUAUAGUCACUGUGCGGUAUAGUCACUGUGCAGUAUAGCCACUGUGUAGUAUAGUCACUGUGUAGUAUAGUCACUGUGUAGUGUUGCCACAGUGUAGUAUAGUCAUUGUAUAGUGUUGCCACUGUGUAGUAUAGUCACUGUGUAGUAUAGUCAUUGUGUAGUAUAGUCACUGUGUAGUGUUGCCACAGUGUAGUAUAGUCACUGUGUAGUAUAGUCACUAUGUAGUAUAGUCACUGUGUAGUAUAGUCACUGUGUAGUGUUGCCACGGUGUAGUAUUGCCACUGUGUAGUAUAGUCAUUGUGUAGUAUAGUCAUUGUGUAGUAUAGUCACUGUGUAGUAUUGCCACUGUGUAGUAUAGCCACGGUGUAGUAUAGUCACUGUACUGUUAUGCAAUAACUAUAUCUGUGGCCUUUAAAGUCUAAUCUGACUAGCAAUCUCAGCAAUUAUGAAACUGUAGUCUGAUAGAAUGCAGGAUUUCUUCACAAAUGGUAUACAUACUGUAUAAAGUCAUUGUCUGAUGAAAACCUUGUAACUACAUGUUUUGCCAAUUUAAAUUGUUUUACAUUUAUUGAAAGUGGUAUCUAACGUCAAUGUACUCUGAACAUUUCAUGUCUUUAGAAUCAAGAACAUUCAAAAUAGCUUCUAAAUUGUCAUAAUUCUAUAUUCGUUGAUGGAAAACAUGUUUUUUUCUUGUAUUUUCUCUUUGAAAAGUUGAUGUUUUGGCGAUUGAAUGUUUGGGUCAGACUGUGAUGAUAUGAGCUGCAGUAGCAGCAGAGCAUCCUGGUUAAAAACCACCUGAUGAAGCUAACACUCUGUUUCACUUCACAAGGAAUAGUAAAGAUGAGCGCAGCGGUCAGUCUGCUUUCACCCAGCUAGGAGCAGAG